GUAACCCAAGAGCCUCAAUGCCAUAUCGUGUCCCUAUCACAGGUAAUCUACCAUCUGCAUCUCCACUAUUAAUUCAUUCCACAAACAAACACAUUAAUGAAUGAAUUUAUUCAAUUCAACCAUAUAUCUCAUUCAUCAAUCAAAAAGUGAACUAUCUUGGUAUAUACUAAUUGCAACCGCUACUGCAUGCAGAGACAGAGUAGACACAUGAAUGAGUACGUGACCCUUUCACCCAAAGCUAACAAUUCUAUGUAAAUUAUAACUACAUCUAUCUAUCUAUUAAAUUAUAAAGCAUGUAACCAUAAUGUCAUAAAUGUCACUUGCAUUUAGUAAAAAAAUAAAUGUCACUUCACUUUGUUAAAAAAAAUUCUAUUUCGGUCCAUAAAUGGAACCACGUUUAAAAUGUUCAAACUCAACUAAAUCUUAACCAAUAUGAGAGAUGGAUUUAGAUUUGCUGUUGUGGUAUUCACGUAUUAAUUCAUCUUCAUCGUCAAUUUAAGAUCGGAUAGUGCAUAUGAUAUAUGUACUAAAACAAUCUUAACUAUCCAUUAAUGUCGAAUAGUUAAGACUUGCUACGGUUACAGCAGGGAAUCUGUUUCUUAGUAGACACUAGAGAUGAUGUAGUAGCACGGAUGGUGCAGUAGUAGUAGUUCCGAUUCCGAAGACCGUUAGAUUUAGUGCAAGGUUUUAAAUUGUGGACCGCAUCACCUGAUGCGGCCGCAAUAUUGCGGAUGCGGUAGGCACUGCAACCGCAUCGGACCGCAAUUGCGGUGUGAACUCAAAUCACACGUGAUGCCGC
rnacentral:lncRNA from 1 species